rnacentral:rRNA from 1 species
GAUGAACGCUGGCGGCGUGCCUAAUACAUGCAAGUCGAACGGAGAGUAGCAAUACUCUUAGUGGCGAACGGGUGAGUAACGCGUUGGUGACCUGCCCCGAAGCGGGGGAUAACAGCUCGAAAGGGCUGAUAAUACCCCAUGUGCUCGGCCUCGUUAGAGAGGGCUGAGUAAAGGAUCCCAUAUUCACUUCGGGAGGGGCCUGCGUCCCAUCAGCUAGUUGGUAGGGUAAUGGCCUACCAAGGCGAUGACGGGUAGGGGACCUGAGAGGGUGGCCCCCCACAAUGGAACUGAAACACGGUCCAUACACCUACGGGAGGCAG